rnacentral:rRNA from 1 species
AGGAAUAUUGGUCAAUGGACGAGAGUCUGAACCAGCCAAGUAGCGUGAAGGAUGACUGCCCUAUGGGUUGUAAACUUCUUUUAUACGGGAAUAAAGUGAGGCACGUGUGCCUUUUUGUAUGUACCGUAUGAAUAAGGAUCGGCUAACUCCGUGCCAGCAGCCGCGGUAAUACGGAGGAUCCGAGCGUUAUCCGGAUUUAUUGGGUUUAAAGGGAGCGUAGGCGGACGCUUAAGUCAGUUGUGAAAGUUUGCGGCUCAACCGUAAAAUUGCAGUUGAUACUGGGUGUCUUGAGUACAGUAGAGGCAGGCGGAAUUCGUGGUGUAGCGGUGAAAUGCUUAGAUAUCACGAAGAACUCCGAUUGCGAAGGCAGCUUGCUGGACUGUAACUGACGCUGAUGCUCGAAAGUGCGGGUAUCAAACAGGAUUAGAUACCCUGGUAGUCCACACAGUAAACGAUGAAUACUCGCUGUUUGCGAUAUACAGUAAGCGGCCAAGCGAAAGCGUUAAGUAUUCCACCUGGGGAGUACGCCGGCAACGGUGAAACUCAAAGGAAUUGACGGGGGCCCGCACAAGCGGAGGAACAUGUGGUUUAAUUCGAUGAUACGCGAGGAACCUUACCCGGGCUUGAAUUGCAACUGAAUGAUGUGGAGACAUGUCAGCCGCAAGGCAGUUGUGAAGGUGCUGCAUGGUUGUCGUCAGCUCGUGCCGUGAGGUGUCGGCUUAAGUGCCAUAACGAGCGCAACCCUUAUCGAUAGUUACCAUCAGGUUAUGCUGGGGACUCUGUCGAGACUGCCGUCGUAAGAUGUGAGGAAGGUGGGGAUGACGUCAAAUCAGCACGGCCCUUACGUCCGGGGCUACACACGUGUUACAAUGGGGGGUACAGAAGGCAGCUACACGGCGACGUGAUGCUAAUCCCUAAAGCCUCUCUCAGUUCGGAUUGGAGUCUGCAACCCGACUCCAUGAAGCUGGAUUCGCUAGUAAUCGCGCAUCAGCCACGGCGCGGUGAAUACGUUCCCG